rnacentral:rRNA from 1 species
GACGAACGCUGGCGGCGUGCUUAACACAUGCAAGUCGAACGGAAAGGCCCUGCUUUUGUGGGGUUCUCGAGUGGCGAACGGGUGAGUAACACGUGAGUAACCUGCCCUUGACUUUGGGAUAACUUCAGGAAACUGGGGCUAAUACCGGAUAGGAGCUCCUGCUGCAUGGUGGGGGUUGGAACGUUUCGGCGGUUGGGGAUGGACUCGCGGCUUAUCAGCUUGUUGGUGGGGUAGUGGCUUACCAAGGCUUUGACGGGUAGCCGGCCUGAGAGGGUGACCGGCCACAUUGGGACUGAGAUACGGCCCAGACUCCUACGGGAGGCAGCAGUGGGGAAUAUUGCACAAUGGGCGGAAGCCUGAUGCAGCAACGCCGCGUGCGGGAUGACGGCCUUCGGGUUGUAAACCGCUUUCGCCUGUGACGAAGCGUGAGUGACGGUAAUGGGUAAAGAAGCACCGGCUAACUACGUG